AAAUACAAGAGCAAUCUGGCGGUGACAUCUGUCUUGCCAUUGAUCACAAGGGUUGAUUCUGCUGAUCUGGCUGGCUAGGUGGGUGUCCCCUUCCUCCCUCACUGUUGCAUGCUUGGUCGAAGAGGAUGACCCUCCCCGAAUAGAGGAUGACCAGUCUUCGGUCAAGGGUAUACAAGUAGCUACACUCCCCUGCUAGAACCUCCAAACAAGCUCUUAAGAUAUCGAAGUUGGUUAUUGCCCUGUAUUCUGAUAUUCAAGUGCUAUAUCUCAGCUAUAC
rnacentral:snRNA from 1 species